rnacentral:rRNA from 1 species
UACGAAGGUCCCGAGCGUUAUCCGGAUUUAUUGGGUUUAAAGGGUGCGUAGGUGGGUCUGUAAGUCAGUGGUGAAAUCCCCGAGCUUAACUUGGGAACUGCCGUUGAUACUAUAGAUCUUGAAUAUCGUGGAGGUAAGCGGAAUAUGUCAUGUAGCGGUGAAAUGCUUAGAUAUGACAUAGAACACCAAUUGCGAAGGCAGCUUACUACACGAUCAUUGACGCUGAGGUGCGAAAGCGUGGGGAGCAAACAGG